UUUCCGUAAGUGAACCUGCGGAAGGAUCAUUACCGAGUGAGGGCCCUCUGGGUCCAACCUCCCACCCGUGUUUAUUAUACCUUGUUGCUUUGGCGGGCCCGCCUCACGGCCGCCGGGGGCUUCUGCCCCCGGGCCCGUGCCCGCCGAAGACACCUUAGAACUCUGUCUGAAGAUUGUAGUCUGAGUAAAAAUAUAAAUUAUUUAAAACUUUCAACAACGGAUCUCUUGGUUCCG
rnacentral:misc_RNA from 1 species